rnacentral:tRNA from 1 species
GGGUAUAUAGCUCAGUGGUAGAGUGCAUGCCUACGAUGUAUGAAGUCCGGGGUUCAGUCCCCGGUACCUCCA